rnacentral:rRNA from 1 species
AUUGAACGCUGGCGGCAUGCUUUACACAUGCAAGUCGAACGGUAACAGGGUGCUUGCACCGCUGACGAGUGGCGAACGGGUGAGUAAUGCGUCGGAACGUGCCGAGUAGUGGGGGAUAACGCAGCGAAAGUUGUGCUAAUACCGCAUACGUACUGAGGUAGAAAGUGGGGGACCUUCGGGCCUCACGCUAUUCGAGCGGCCGACGUCUGAUUAGCUAGUAGGUGAGGUAAAGGCUCACCUAGGCGACGAUCAGUAGCGGGUCUGAGAGGAUGAUCCGCCACACUGGGACUGAGACACGGCCCAGACUCCUACGGGAGGCAGCAGUGGGGAAUUUUGGACAAUGGGCGAAAGCCUGAUCCAGCCAUGCCGCGUGUCUGAAGAAGGCCUUCGGGUUGUAAAGGACUUUUGUCGGGGAGGAAAUCCCCAGCGCUAAUACCGCUGGGGGAUGACAGUACCUGAAGAAUAAGCACCGGCUAACUACGUGCCAGCCGCCGCCGUAACAC